rnacentral:rRNA from 1 species
AUACGGAGGGUGCAAGCGUUAAUCGGAAUUACUGGGCGUAAAGCGUACGUAGGCGGUUAAGUCAGUCAGAUGUGAAAGCCCUGGGCUCAACCUGGGAACUGCAUUUGAUACUGCUUGGCUAGAAUAUGGUAGAGGGAAGUGGAAUUCCGGGUGUAGCGGUGAAAUGCGUAGAUAUCCGGAGGAACACCAGUGGCGAAGGCGGCUUCCUGGACCAAUAUUGACGCUGAGGUACGAAAGCGUGGGUAGCAAACAGGAUUAGAUACCCCUGUAGUCC